UACCCAGGGCGCAAGCGCUCUCCAGAUUCAUUGGCUUUAAAGGCUGCGCAGGCGGCCUUGUCAGUCUCCGGUUAAAUCCUACGGCUUAACCGGGGAACUGCCUUUGAUACUGCAGAUCUUGAGUAUGGUUGAAGUGGACGGAAUGCGGCAUGGAGGGGUGAAAUGCUUAGAUCUGGUACAGACCACCAGUUGCGAAGGCCGUCCACUAAAUCAUCACUGACGCUCAUGGACGAAAGCGGGGGGAUCAAACAGGAUUAGAUACCCUGGUAGUCCAAGCUGUAAACUAUGAUCACUCGUUGAUGGCGAGACUCGGGCAGCGGGCAAGACGAAAGUGAUAAGUGAUUCACCUGGGGAGUACGAUCGCAAGGCUGAUACUCAAUGGAUUCGAGGGGGGCCCACACAAGCGGUGGUGCAUGUCGUUUAAUUUGAUGAUCCGCGAUGAUCCUUGGCUGGGCUCCAGCGUAGGAUGCUGUAUGCAGAAAGGUGCAUUUGUUCGGACAUUCUACGCGGUGCUGCAUGGUUGUCGUCAGCUCGUGCCGUGAGGUAUCUGGGUAAGUGCCAUAACUAGCGCAAUCCCUAUCGUUACUCUGCUUCUGGUCUAGCUGGGGCUUCUAAUGAAGCCGCCUACGCAAGUCGUGAUGGAGGCGGGGAUGCCCUCCAAUCAGCUCGGCCCUUACGUUCAGGGGUCCACACCUGCUACACAUGGCCAGUGCAAAGGGCAGUUGUCUGGGGACAGGAUGUUCAUUUCUAAAGCCGGUUUCCAGUUGGAUCGAAGUGUUCUAACCGCCUUCGUGAAGCUGGGAUUGCUUGUUAUCUCGCAUCAGCCAUGGCGCGGUGAAUUCGUUCCCGGUCCU
rnacentral:rRNA from 1 species